rnacentral:rRNA from 1 species
GACAGACAGAGAGCUUGCUCUCUAGAAGUUAGUGGCGAACGGGUGAGUAACGCGUAAUCAACCUGCCCUUCAGAGGGGGAUAACAACGGGAAACCGUUGCUAAUACCGCGUACGAUUCACGAGCGGCAUCGCUUGUGAAUGAAAGAUGGCCUCUAUAUAUAAGCUAUCGCUGAAGGAGGGGAUUGCGUCUGAUUAGCUAGUUGGAGGGGUAACGGCCCACCAAGGCAAUGAUCAGUAGCCGGUCUGAGAGGAUGAACGGCCACAUUGGGACUGAGACACGGCCCAAACUCCUACGGGAGGCAGCAGUGGGGAAUCUUCCGCAAUGGACGAAAGUCUGACGGAGCAACGCCGCGUGAGUGAUGAAGGUCUUCGGAUUGUAAAGCUCUGUUAAUCGGGACGAAAGAGUUCUGUGUAAAUAAUGCAGAAAAGUGACGGUACCGGAAUAGAAAGCCACGGCUAACUACGUGCCAGCAGCCGCGGUAAUACGUAGGUGGCAAGCGUUGUCCGGAAUUAUUGGGCGUAAAGCGCGCGCAGGCGGCCUAUCCAGUCUGUCUUAAAAGUUCGGGGCUCAACCCCGUGAUGGGAUGGACACUAGUAGGCUAGAGUAUCGGAGAGGAAAGCGGAAUUCCUAGUGUAGCGGUGAAAUGCGUAGAUAUUAGGAAGAACACCAGUGGCGAAGGCGGCUUUCUGGACGAGAACUGACGCUGAGGCGCGAAAGCCAGGGGAGCGAACGGGAUUAGAUACCCCGGUAGUCCUGGCCGUAAACGAUGGGUACUAGGUGUAGGAGGUAUCGACCCCUUCUGUGCCGGAGUUAACG